rnacentral:lncRNA from 1 species
GGGGGCUAUAAUUAAACACCCUAACCCACCUGGAGGAGGAGUUCAUUAUUCUCUGAGAAGAUCAAGAGAAGAACUAGACAGAGAGGGGUCCCUCGAAUGGAUCUGUCUCUAUAGGAUUCUUAGCCACCAUCUCAAUUAGAUCUUUAUAGUUCUUUAGCACAGCUACAUAGGAUUAGAUCUAGAAGGAGUCAAGUUAAUCUUGGAGUCUGGAUCAAUCUUUAGUUCAUGGUAAACUCUUAUUCUCUUUGUUAUAUUUAUAUUAGUUCUUGAUACUAUGAAUAUGACUUUGAUCUAUUUGAUUAUAUCAUAAUUGACUUUAUUCUAUUUGCUUAUUUUCUCAAUUAUAUUGUUGUUAGUCUACUUUGAUUAUAUGCUUAGUGUAGUUAGAUUAGAAUUAUGUUUGUGCAUAGGAUCGUAUAGCGCUUACUCGUUAGGCCGAUGGCUAAGUGAUAGAUAUUGUGUAGGCGAGGUGCCUAGACCGUAUUUAUCUGCGAUUACCCCUGAUAGUCCGAAGCUUGAGGUAGAUCGCGGGAGUGACAGUCCUAUUGAGUCCUUUGUAUUCCUUCUUCCGGUUAUAAGGAUUGUAGAGCACGAUUAUUACACGGAAGUUCUUGCUAUGUUUAUGAUCUUUCAUGUUAAUAUCACUAUGCAUAGAUAUAACCUUUUCUAGUGAUGAUGCUAGGUGUACUUACACUAUUCAAUGUAUGCUUUGACAGUAUAGUUAGAAUACUUAGCAUUCAAUCUUGUAAACUGUCCUAAUACCAUGCUAGUGCAGUAGGCUUAGAGUAUUCUAAUUGAGAUGAUUAUCAUGUUUAUCUUAUGGCUGUGAAUUCCUAGUUAUCACCUGUCACUUGUUAUUCAUAUUCAUAUUCAUAUUCAUAUAUUUAUCUUAUGUGACACUUACCCGGCAUGAGAGAUAGAUAAAGACAUGGUUAAGGUCUCCAUUGAAUACAUGCAGUGCUCCUUGCUCAUUAUCCAUUGCAAGUCCCUUCCUAGUGGUAAAAAUAUAAAUAACGAUACUUGGAAUACUACUCAUUAAAAUGCUACAUCGGUAUUAUCUAUGCGCUUGCGGCUCUUUAUUUAUUUUUUUCCUAGAAACACUGCUAUAGAAUCAGCCUUUUAGUCCCGGCCGGGAAGGGGCUUUAGCCCCGGAUUCCAAGCCGGGACUACGCUUCCAGCUCCAUGCACUGGGGCCAAAGCCCCCCUUUAGUCCCGGCUGGUAAUACCGCCCAGGACUAAAGGGGCCCCUUGUUUUUUCUUUUUCUUUUCUUUUAGGUUCUGUUUUUUAGUUUUGUUUAUUUAUACAAUAGGUUUUUCAAUAUGUAUUCUUUGCUACUAAUAUAUAUAUAUAUAUUUAUAUAUAUUAGCAGCAUAUGACAAUAAGCUUAUUUUAUGCAUAUAUAAUUGAAUUAUAUGACUACAUAUAUAUAUAAAUAUAUGCACAUAAAUAUAUAGAAGUUGUUCUCCAAAUCUAAAACUGGACAAGUUGUACUCCAAAGUUAACACUCUAAACCUAUUACAAGUUGUCCUUCAUCAUCUAAUGAUCUACAAAGCAUACAGGUGAUCGUCAUUGUUUGGAAUCAUCGUCUCGUUAGGAUUAUAGUGGAACUCGGCGCUUGGAUUUAUGAAAUGUUCCCGAAGAAAUCCUGCUAUUUCCUCUUGUAUUGCUUGGAGUUGUUCAUGUUGCAUGAGUUUUUGCUUCAACCAUUCAGUCUUCAAUUUGAAUUAAAAGAAGGUAUUAGUUAUAUCAAGAUUAUCAAUAAUAAUUCGAGAGAAAAUGGAAAGAGACAUGUGUUGCAUACUCUGAGGUAUUCUUCAAUAAUUCUAUUUGUUUCUGCCAUAAUAUACUCACAAACAUAGUAUCCACAUAAGUUGAUCCUCAGUUCUUGUCUCAAGAUCCACUGUAGGAUGUAAAGAUUCAUCUUGUAAAAAAGACAAGAUAUAAGAUAUACCACGUACAUUGACGAAGGAUAAACUUACUUGUAGCUGUAUUAUCUUUAGUGACGCCCUAUAUUGAGUUAGAUGUUCCCGAACAAUGAAUCUUUCCCAAACCCUAAACCAAUGAUAUGUAUGAGACAAGAGAGUUUGAUCGUUAAGUAUACAUAUAUACAAGCUUAGUCUACUUUACGCAUGCAAUGGAUCGAACUUACCUUUGAAUGAUGUCUAUCAUAUCUUGAUAAUCUUAUUGUGGUUUCUUCAUUGAGUCAUAGAUUACCAACUUAGUUUCAGCAAGAUCGAUGACUAUGAGUAUCUAGUGAAACCUGUCCAUAGAGACAUGAGUCGUAGAUUAGGGUUAAGUAAAAUUAAAGGUGCACACUAGCAUGUUGU